GAUGAACGCUGGCGGCGUGCCUAAUACAUGCAAGUCGAGCGAACGGACGAGAAGCUUGCUUCUCUGAUGUUAGCGGCGGACGGGUGAGUAACACGUGGAUAACCUACCUAUAAGACUGGGAUAACUUCGGGAAACCGGAGCUAAUACCGGAUAAUAUUUUGAACCGCAUGGUUCAAAAGUGAAAGACGGUCUUGCUGUCACUUAUAGAUGGAUCCUCGCUGCAUUAGCUAGUUGGUAAGGUAACGGCUUACCAAGGCAACGAUGCAUAGCCGACCUGAGAGGGUGAUCGGCCACACUGGAGCUGAGACACGGUCCAGACUCCUACGGGAGGCAGCAGUAGGGAAUCUUCCGCAAUGGGCGAAAGCCUGACGGAGCAACGCCGCGUGAGUGAUGAAGGUCUUCGGAUCGUAAAACUCUGUUAUUAGUGAAGAACAUAUGUGUAAGUAACUGUGCACAUCUUGACGGUACCUAAUCAGAAAGCCACGGCUAACUACGUG
rnacentral:rRNA from 1 species